rnacentral:rRNA from 1 species
AUGAACGCUGGCGGCGUGCCUAAUACAUGCAAGUCGAGCGAACGGACGAGAAGCUUGCUUCUCUGAUGUUAGCGGCGGACGGGUGAGUAACACGUGGAUAACCUACCUAUAAGACUGGGAUAACUUCGGGAAACCGUAGCUAAUACCGGAUAAUAUUUUGAACCGCAUGGUUCAAAAGUGAAAGACGGUCUUGCUGUCACUUAUAGAUGGAUCCGCGCUGCAUUAGCUAGUUGGUAAGGUAACGGCUUACCAAGGCAACGAUGCAUAGCCGACCUGAGAGGGUGAUCGGCCACACUGGAACUGAGACACGGUCCAGACUCCUGCGGGAGGCAGCAGUAGGGAAUCUUCCGCAAUGGGCGAAAGCCUGACGGAGCAACGCCGCGUGAGUGAUGAAGGUCUUCGGAUCGUAAAACUCUGUUAUUAGGGAAGAACAUAUGUGUAAGUAACUGUGCACAUCUUGACGGUACCUAAUCAGAAAGCCACGGCUAACUACGUG